rnacentral:misc_RNA from 1 species
CGUAGCUUAAUUGUUUCUCGCAUCGUUCGGUGCAUUUUUGGGAUCGCUCUGGCUUUUGGUUGCUUGCUUGCAUUUGUGCUAUGUGGGUGGCUACUAGUCGGGUGGUUUCGGGAAAUGUUUACCGUAAAGGUGCAUGAGUGGUGUUUGGUUUGUUACGGGUGGUUGGAUGUCUUCUUGCGAAGCAACUUCCAUGCGUGCUUACCUCUUCAUUUACGUAGCAAGGCUUGUUAUAGACUUGCUCGUAUUGUGGGUUUCCUGUGUUGCGUACCUAAUCAAGGGCAUUGUAUGACUGAUUGAAUCUUUUUCCGUCACGCAUCGCACUUGUGGUGCAAGACGGACCAGUAAGUGGUCUCCGUAAUCCAUCUCGUCCUUGUAAACACUUCGGCAAUGUGGCUUGCUGAGUUUCGCUUGGUGUCUYGGAUAUGGAACCUGAUGUGGGCAUGGGGUCUUAAAUGAUCCUUUUAUGUCCUCGUUUAGUGUUCUCACUUCUCUAAAACGAUCA